GUCCAAACUAAAAAUAUAAGCGAAAGAAAUAAAUAUCUCCAGAAAUCAACAAAAUCGGAUUAAUUAAAAACAGAAAAUUCAGAAUAACCAAAGCAUGGAAAACAAUUCCAGAUUCAAGGAUCGAUGCACACCAGAAAAAUGAACAUUCAAAUUAAGGUACACACCAAACAAGAGCACUACAAGAUCAGAAUUACUGAAUAAUUCAGGAUACCCAUCAAACGAGAUCGAUAAUUCAUCACUAUAACAAAAUUAAGCUAAUACUCAAACAAAAUCUGAAAAAAUCAACAGCAGCACAAAAAUAAACCGAACCCAUCAUGCGAAGUCGAUAUAAAUGACAGAAAAUGGAGCUUUUUCAACAAUCAAAGAAGCAGAAAA
rnacentral:misc_RNA from 1 species